AGCUCUGGGUAGAGCAUCAGUCUGCAGACUGAAAGGUCCUGGGUUCAAUUCCCAG
rnacentral:tRNA from 1 species